GUUUCUCGUGUUAAAUCAUUUAUUAUAGAAUAUGUAUUAUAUAUAAACAUCUUUAUUUAUUUUGGUAAUUUAAUUAUUACUGUUAACUUAUACAUUAACAAUUUAGUUAUCACCCUAACAUGUCUUUUAAAGUGGUAAAUUGUAUAUUACAUUAUAGAUAACUAUUAUACAUAACAAAAUUUUUUUUUAUCAUGUUAACAUUCGGUAACUAAUAGAUUAGCAAUUAUCUAUUCUCGUAAUAUGUUAAUUUAUGCAUUGGUUUAUUUAUUUAUCAUGAUAAUUUGUUUAUCACCGUUAACUUAUUAGUUAUCAUGGACGUUGAACUUCUUCGUUUUCCUUCUCUUCGUUUCCUAUCUCUCUCUAUGUCCUCUCCAUCUUCACUUUAGAUUACAAAACCAUGAUUUUCACCCCCAAUUCAUCAAAUUAAAAGUUUAGUCCAUCCCAAACUCGU